AGCAGAGCUCAGGCCACAGCACCUGCACCCGUUUUCUGCUGCUGCACACAAGGGCUCUGUGCAUUCCGCAUCCAGGUGUGCCCCUCCUCUUCUGGAGGAUUCUUUUUCAGGCUGUCCCAGAGACUUUGCAGCACAGCAUCCUUGCUCUAUUUCUUCCUGCAACAUCUCUGCUGAAGCUCUAUUGCUUUUGGCAACUCUUCCGUCUAUUUUGUGGUUUAGGUGUCUCCUACUUUUACUAAAAAUGGAAUUUGUGUUUUUAUCGCUCAAGUCCUUUUUGCUUUUGGAUUACUUCCAGAAAAUGAAGGGAGGGUUACUAACUUUAUGCCAUCUUCAAACCAGAAGAUCUUAGAUUAGUAAGAUCAUGUUGGCCAUGGCAUGGAGAAUGGGCUGGAGGUGGAGAGACUGGAGGUUGGAAGUCCAGUUAGGAGAUUGCUCCUGCGCUGGGGAGUUGGUGUUAGGACAGAAGAUCCAAGACGCGUUUCAGAGAGCCCCUCUUCUUGGGCCUGCGAUUCCUCACCUGGAAGGGAGAAGAGUGGACUUCCUGCCUAGAGAACACCUUGGUAAACUCUUUGUGGUUCCUGUCAUGAGAAGGUGUGCAGCUUAGGGAAAAAGCCUGUGAGCUCUGGAAUCAGAUGGAACUGGAUAUGAAUUUCCAUUUAGUGCUUGUUGGAUUAAAUGUGAUGCUAGUAAGUACACUUGCCUAGUUGCUGCUCAAGAAAUGGAGCUAUUAUUAUUUACAUCAUAAUUUGAACUUCAUUCAUUCAACCCAUACCGAUGAGCAGCCACAGGCCCUCCUUCCACAGGGCUUACCUUCAGAAAGUUCCACGUGUCCCUUACUUUCUGGUAGGCACAUUCAUGGGCACGUACCAUGCUAAGGACCAGGGACCUGGAGAUGAAGACAGUCCUGUCCACUGAGGGGUUCACAUCUUUCCAUAAAACGUUCUGACCCCCCUGUUUCUUUCUUCUCAUCUCCUCCUCCAAUCCCCCCUGGGCUGGGGCACCUCCUCUGCACUGUCCCUCUGGAAGCAGAGAGGAGUUUCCAACCUCCUCCAGUCCCCUGCCAGGUAUCCUGAGCCUGAGAGCUCCUCAGAGCAUUGUCUGCAGUUACCUCCUCACUUACAGCCCAGACUGAGAUACUCACACUUGUGAUUGCCCAGGUGGAGGGGAGAGGUCAAACUCUUCCCAUGGCCUCCUUUCUCCUCUGUGAAAACUCCAGAUCUUUGCUCCUGAUUUUUUUUUAGUGUGUACCCUUUUGUAUUUCAGCUUCUCCCAGCCGAAAGAAUAAAACUGGUAAGAGGAAGGGAAAUGCAGCCUCAGUAAGGAGGCCUCCAUUCUGGAAGGGCUUCCCAGGCCCAGAGAAGGGAGAAAGUAAUUUGGAACCACCCAAGUAUUGGUGAUGCCAGGCCUCACCCUACCCUGGGGAUAUUUGAAUCUCAAAAAGGGAGCAUGGGAAUCUGACAAAGCACUUGCAUGUAUAAAGAACUCCUCCAAAUCAACAAGGCAAAAACCUCAUUAGAUACAUAGGCAAAAACCUCAGAAGAGCCACAUCACAAAGGAGCACCUCCAAAUGGCCAAGAAGCAUAUGAAAAUAUGUUCAAUCUCAUUAGCCAACAGGGAAUUCAAAUUAGAACUACACCAGGAUGGCUGAAAGUGCAAAGACUGACAAUAUCAAGGGCUGGUGGGGAUGCAGAACAACUGGAACUCUCCUAUGCACUGCGGAAGGGGUAAAUUAAUACCGCCCCUUUGGAAGAACAGUUUAGAAGCAUCACUAAAGCUGAAUAUAUUCAUGCCUACUCCGGAAAUCCUGAGCCCAGGUAUAUAUCUAACAGAAGUUUGUUUAUAAAGGCACCAAAAGUCAAUUACACAAGAUACAAGAAUGUUCAUAGUAGAGCCGUUUGUAUUAGUCAUAAACUGGAAACCACCCAAAUGCCCAUCAGUGUGGCUCCCUUUGAAGAACUGCCUUGGGGUUCAUGUUGCAGCAUCAAACAGGGAUGGAAGAUGCAUCUUGCUUUAGCAGCAGGAGCCUGGAAAGCAGCUGAAGCCCUGGAGGGUGCCUGGCACACAGAAUCUUGUGCUGAGCCCGGAGCACAAUGGGAGCGGGCUGGCGGGGUGGGUUCACAGCUGGACUGGGAGCAGCAGACAUACAGGCCGUAGGCACAGACAUAUAAAGACAGUCAUGCAGAUUGCAGGAUGCCUGAGAGCACAGACUCUCACAUGCACAAAUACGUGCAUGAUCGCCAGUGUGCAUCCAGACAGCCCCACAUGCAUGCACACGCAUGCACACAUGUGAUGUGUACAUAGAUGGACACAUGUCUAUGCCCACAAACACUGCAGAGACACAGAAGUGUCUGGCAAGGAACACUAUUUUGUCCUCAAUUUUCUGCCAGUGAGAGUCUACUGACUCCAUCUCUGAAAUGUCUCUACUUAUUGUCCCUCUUCUCCACCUGCACCACAUCCCUAGUCCCUGAAACUCCCACCGAGACCCCUGGGCAAUAGCAAAGUCUGCACAGGAUUCCUGCUCCGCCUCUACCCCACCCUUAAGCCCAUCCUACAUGCAAGAGCAGGAGUUAUCUGGGUAUCAAGCAAAUCUGACCACAUCACCUCCCCACUGCUUAAAACCCUUUCCUACAGGAUGAAGUUGAAAUCACUUGACAUCCCAUAUAAGGCCCUUGACUGUCUGGCAUCAGCCAUAGUCUGGCCUCAGGCCCUGGCAUGGAGUCCCCUGGACUCAGUGCUCUGGCUGAGGGCCUCCAGGAUGAAGAUACCCUGUGCAAAGCCUCACACUUUUGCUGUUGCUGGGCUCACUGUGUGAAAUUCCCUCCUCCCUCCUUCCACCUUCCCUAUGCUGAACUGCCACUCCUCCAUCCUCCAUGGCCAGCUAAGCCAACACCUCCCCACUUCCUCCUGACAACCCAGGCACAGCCACUGACCUGUCCCAUGGCUGUCACAGCCCUUUCUUGGGCUCUCAAUGGUAUCAUUGUCACCUGUGUGCUCAUGAGCCUCUGCCACUCAACUCCAAGCACAUCAAAUAAAGAGCUCAAAACAUAUCGGAUACUCAACAAAUUUCUGGGUAUGAGUGAAUGAAUGAAUUAGUCUGUAAGACAGGAUCACACUAGGUGAUUGUUCUGGCUACAGAACCUGGGCAUGUCCUAUAUGUAACUCCUAUGAUCUCAGCCUCCACAUAGGUAAAAAAGGGCUCUCUAUCUCCUGGCAGAAUCUAUGGUUCAGACCAUGGAGAUGUAUAUAAAUAACUGAGCUGAACGGCUAACAUGGUGGGCGCUCCACAGAUGACAGCCAUAGUUACUGUCUUUAACUUCUACUUUUAUUUCCAGUGAAGUCUUUCCACUCAUGUUUCUUAAUUCUCCAUCUCCCUCACUGCCUAUCCAGUUCAGUGCUGGACUCCUGGAACCAGCUCAUUGAAGGUGCAUUGUCGGAUUGAUCAGCUGAAUGGCUUCUUAAGGCUUGUUUCCAACCUGAGAACUCUGAGCUGAGUACUGUUCUUCCUCCCUCCCAGCCUCCCCUGAGACUGAAAGCUGAGAGCCAUACAGAGAUCACUCCUCUUCCAGGCUCCAGAAGCUGAACAUCUGCUCCGUUUGGAGUUCUAUGCACUGAGCUGAGUUAGGACCUGGGGGGACAGGAACAGCUGAGCCUUUCUGCUCCAAAAGGCAGAGUCAUUUCAGCCAGCCACCCAGCAGCUGCCUAGCCCCUCCCAGACACCCCCAGGGAUGCUGCACAUGUGGCUAGGGUUCCCAUAGGAACCUCUGUGGAGACCUGCCAUCCCUGCUUCCCCACAUCUCCUUUUGGACUCGUGAGAGAGGUUAGGAGGAGGAGGGGAGGGGAAAGGACAGGACUGCCAGGCACUUUCAUACACAAACACCCAGUCUCUUAAUCCUCACAAUAACUCUAAGAAAUAUGCUAUUGUUAUCCUUGUGGUACUGACAAGGAAAUUGAGGCCCAAAGACAUCUAACCCAAGUUCACCCAGGUAACAAACAAGAGAACUGGUCUGCCACCUUAUCAGUUUGUACUGACACAGUAUCAGUCAGUACCAGCCAGGGAUCUCUGGUUGCAAGCCACAGAAACCAACUCCCACUAUCACAAGCAAAAAAAUUGCUGAAGGACUGUGGUGCCACACCAGAAGGAAAGGAAAAGCUGAAGACACAUGAUUGGAAAGGACAGGAAGAAGGGCAGCGUCAGGAUCUGGGUGCCAGGAACGGACCAUCAUUUCAUUGGAAUAAAUAAACUUCUAUUUUUAAAUUCUUUUGUCUCUCCAUUUAGGAUUCAGGUUUGGGGAGGAAGCUGGGCCCAGUGCCACUUGUUGGCUGGAAGAGGACAGACUACUGUAAUUGACAGUCCUACCAAGCCUAUAUUCAAUGGGAUAGGGACUGCCCCUCCCUCCAAAUUGGGAUGCUGUUUCCAGAAGAAAGGGGAAUGAAUCCUAGGCAGGCGGAAUCCCAAGCUCACCUGACUGCACCAUGCUGUGAUGGGCUGCAGGGUGGGACAGUUUCUAUGGCUCUCUCUAACGGAACUAGACCCACUCAGGAGGCAGCAGUGGUUAGAAGAUGGGUACUGGGAAGAAGGAAGCUGGAAGUGAUGGUCUUCGUUUUUAUGGGAACAAAAUGCAUUUACAUCUCAAUGUUAACCACCCUGUUAACUGACCUCUCACAUCCCAAUACUAUCUCUCUCUUUUUCUCUUUACCCAGUAUUGAAUUCCCAGGAUCC
rnacentral:lncRNA from 1 species